UACGACUACAUAUCAGGCAUAUCAAUAAGCGGAGGAAAAGAAACUAACAAGGAUUCCCCUAGUAACGGCGAGUGAAGCGGGAAGAGCUCAAAUUUGAAAUCUUAAAGGGUUUCCCUUUACGAAUUGUAGUUUAAAGAAGUGUUUUCUGUUGGAGUUUCGGUAAAAGUUCUUUGGAAUAGGACAUCAUAGAGGGUGAGAAUCCCGUAUUUGACCGUUACUUUCCAGCUGUGUGAUACACUUUCAAAGAGUCGGAUUGUUUGGGAAUGCAGUCCAAGAUGGGUGGUAAAUUUCAUCUAAAGCUAAAUAUUGGCGAGAGACCGAUAGCGAACAAGUACCGUGAGGGAAAGAUGAAAAGAACUUUGAAAAGAGAGUUAAACAGUACGUGAAAUUGUCAAAAGGGAAGCGUUUGACACCAGUGUUGUUUAGUUGAAAAUCAAUUCAAUAGUUUUUGAUUCUAAGUAGUAUUGACUUCAUCAGCUUGCUGCUUUCUUCUCAGAAAUUAUUGAAUGCACUUUUCAGUUAACAAGUCAACAUCAAUUUCUUUUGUUGUAAAAGGGUAAGAGGAAGGUGGCUUGCGCUUCGGCUCAAGUGUUUAUAGCCUUUUAUCUCUGCAAUCGGAGAGAUUGAGGUCUGCAGGCGUAGAUCCUUCGGGGUUAGAUACAUUGGUGCUAAGCUAUAGCCUUGUAUAGACAACUUGUUGACUAUGCUCAGUCAUGUAGCUUACUCGCUGAUGCUAUUUUACCUACGCUUAGGAUGUUGAUCUACAGAGCGAGAGU
rnacentral:rRNA from 1 species